rnacentral:tRNA from 1 species
UCUUCUCUAGGUUAAUUUCGUAAACUACUGGUUUGUGGGGCCGGAGAUCUUGGUUUUAGGAGGGGAA